CGGAGACGAAACCCUCAGAGCAGGGACUAGGUUCGCCGUAACCCCGCGCUCCCAACUUCUGCUUCCGGGUCGGAGCCAUGGCGGUGGCAAAUUCAAGCCCUGUCAAUCCCGUGGUGUUUUUUGAUGUCAGCAUUGGCGGCCAGGAAGUUGGCCGCAUGAAGAUCGAGCUCUUUGCAGACGUUGUGCCUAAGACGGCCGAGAAUUUUAGGCAGUUCUGCACUGGAGAAUUCAGAAAAGAUGGGGUUCCAAUAGGAUACAAAGGGAGCACCUUCCACAGGGUCAUAAAAGAUUUCAUGAUUCAGGGUGGAGACUUUGUUAAUGGGGAUGGUACUGGAGUCGCCAGUAUCUACCGGGGGCCAUUUGCAGAUGAAAAUUUUAAGCUUAGACACUCAGCUCCAGGCUUGCUUUCCAUGGCAAACAGUGGUCCCAGUACCAAUGGCUGCCAGUUUUUCAUCACCUGCUCUAAGUGUGAUUGGCUAGAUGGGAAGCACGUGGUGUUUGGAAAAAUCAUUGAUGGACUUCUGGUGAUGAGAAAGAUUGAGAAUGUUCCCACAGGCCCCAACAAUAAACCCAAGCUGCCUGUGGUGAUCUCACAGUGUGGAGAGAUGUAGUCCAGAGGAAGACUGAAUCAGGGUGAGAGCCCAUCAUGCUCCUGAGAUUCCAAAGGGUAGCCUGACCCUCCAAAAAGAACCAGGCCAGUAGGAGCCACUGAAGGAUUUUGAGCAGGAGAACACGACCCUCCACAUCUGCCAUUGCAGGCCUUCCCUUGCUCGGGGUGACGUUCUUGAGUAAGAUAAGCUGGAUUGGCCCCUGUGUUUGCUUCCCUGCCUGCUGCUGCCCCAUUUGAUCAAAAGACCUUGGAAGUAUCACAGACUCAGAAGCCAAGAUUUUGUGUUUAAGUUUUCAACUGUAAAUAAAGUUGUUCUUUUUUUUUUUUUUGGUUUUUUUUUUUUUUUUUUUAACCGUGUGUUGUGUUCUUUUUAAAUGGUUGUAAUGAUAGCCCUGUUUCCUCACUCCUUAGCUCCAGCUAGGAGUACUGACUCUCGCCAGAGACCAGCAUGGGCCAGAGCCAGGCCCUUGAUAUGUAGAGUUGAUGCCUCAGAUUUACAAGCAGUUGUAGCAGUCCCCUCUUAGGUUCAAGCUGAUCGGGCAAAGAAGGCAAAGCCCCAGGGCCUUAUGUUUCCAGUAGGUUCAUUUUGGUUAGUUCUAGAGCCUGUGGGUGAAGGGUCACUAGCUUGGGAUAUUUUUGGAUGGGAGACCAUUUGGUAGAACGUGUCUUGAUCAUGAUGAAGUGGAAAUCAUUUAUUAAUAGUUAAAAAUCUUGGUUUGAAUCCGAAGUCAUUUUUUAAACAGCUGAGGUCUUGAGAUGUUCACUUCCCCAUUCAGAGCCUCAGUUUCCUCAUCUGUAAAAUGGGGAUAAUAAUACUACUUCACAGCAUUGUCGAAAGGGUCAAACAAGAGAAUGGAGAUGAGGAUAACUUGUAGACAGUAACGUGCGUUGGAAAAUUUUGUUUUGAAAGGAAAUAAAAGGAUAACAAAAACAUAAAAGAUAAAAAGAUCCCAUUGAGUGUAAUGUUCAGGAGGUAAAGGGAGUCCCCUGGUAUUCCUUUCAUGAGGCAGUUUCUGUUAUCCCAUUCCUACUUUCUCCUGGCUCAUGGCAGGGAUGACUCAUAACUACUAGCAGCAGGCUACUGCAGCAGCAGAGUAGCAGAGAGCUGAAUUCUGUGAUAAAAUAGAACCAGGCUAAAAGUGCCAUUUCAGUGUACUGGGGGACAAGAAAGGUGGUGAGAUAUUCAAGGGCCCUAUAGUUUGGAUAUUUGCAACUGUCUAGCUAAGUAAACAGGAUUCAGGGCACACGGGAAAGAAAGGGUUGUGAUCUAGUGGAGGAGAAAUCUUCAAGUAACUAAACGGGGUAGAAUUAUAAAGAGAGAGGAAGGAGGAUGAGCAGCUGGGAUCCUGAGCUGAUGUUCUUAUGAUGGGCCAUUCAGUUGAAUUCAGUUACACUUGGCACCUGCAUUCUUUGCCAGUUUCUGUAAAGCUGUAAAGAUGAGUAAGAUGUGGCCUAUGUUUGUGACAGGGGAUAGGCAUGGUUUGGAUUCAGUGUGGUGUUAGAAUGUGAGCCCUUAUGAGGACAAGAAAGCUGGUCGUUUUUGUUUUUCACUGCCGUCUCCAGCACCUAGUAGCCAGUAAGUGUUCAAUAAAUAUUUGUUGUGUGAA